UUCCCUCUGGUGUCGCCAAAUUUCCAUCUCUAUUAUUCUAUUUUAAUUAUUAUUUUUAAUAAUAAUAAAGCCCUACCCGUUUUAAGUAUUGUAACCCCUAUCACUGAUACCCUGUCCAAGUGACGUAGGGCCCCGUAAUGUAUGUCAAGGCUCUGCCUAAAUUCAUUGGGGUUCUGUCUCAUGGCGUAGGGAUAAAGUGGAAUUGGGUUACUAUAAUUAAGUGUGAAUGCACUAUAUAUUUUAUUAAAUAAUCCAGGAGCUAUACCCAAAAUAUUGCCAACACUCCCAAAAUAUUUCUGACAUCCCUAAUAUAUUUAGAAAUACUCCUAUAUGUUUUUAAAUACAACCCGUAUGUUAAAACCGAGCCCGAAUUACGUUAUAGUAUUUAAAAUAAAUUAAAAACAAUAAAUAUUAAGUUGAGGCGGGCCGCGUAAGACCCACCUCAACCUUACGCGGGCCGCGAGAGGUUAGAAAGGUGGCACAGCCCUGGGCCGCCACGUGGCACAAUACCCGUCAAGCCUACACAUCAACUCAGCAUAGCUAUACGUUGACUUUGGGUCAACGCGGGCCGCGUAAGACCUGCUCUCAUUUGACGCGGGCCGCGAGAGAGUCCAGUAUCAGCACUAUAUAAAGGAGCCAUCGGGUUGAACUAGAAUUCGUUCAUUCUUCGAUUCUCAAUCUCAAUUUCUGAUAGUAGAGAUAAUAAGCGGGUAUUAUACCCCCUAAUUAGCGAAGCUCUGCCUCGUUAUUAUAACCAGGAAGUCACGAAGGAAAGCCCUAUAAUAGCAAUGUAACACAAUGUGAAAGCCAAUUAGAAUAAAGCCAGCUCGAGAGCACUGACGGCUUGGAAAAAUGUGGCUAUAAAAGUUACCUAAAAGACGAUGUUUUAAAUUCAAUAAAAUAAGGGUUAUCCCUAUAAACAUGUUGUAAUAAGAAUCUUGGGUUUUACCCGUGUGAUUAUAAAAAAAUAAAAUAUGGUGGUUUUACUCUGAUAAAA